rnacentral:rRNA from 1 species
GAUGAACGCUGGCGGCGGGCCUAAUACAUGCAAGUCGAGCGAACGGACGAUAAGCUUGCUUCUCUGAUGUUAGCGGCGGACGGGUGAGUAACACGUGGAUAACCUACCUAUAAUACUGGGAUAACUUCGGGAAACCGGAGCUAAUACCGGAUAAUAUUUUGAACCGCAUGGUUCAAAAGUGAAAGACGGUCUUGCUGUCACUUAGAGAUGGAUCCGCGCUGCAUUAGCUAGUUGGUAAGGUAACGGCUCACCAAGGCAACGAUGCAUAGCCGACCUGAGAGGGUGAUCGGCCACACUGGAACUGAGACACGGUCCAGACUCCUACGGGAGGCAGCAGUAGGGAAUCUUCGGCAAUGGGCGAAAGCCUGACGGAGCAACGCCGCGUGAGUGAUGAAGGUCUUCGGAUCGUAAAACUCUGUUAUUAGGGAAGAACAUAUGUGUAAGUAACUGUGCACAUCUUGACGGUACCUAAUCAGAAAGCCACGGCUAACUACGUG